AGUUUGAUCAUGGCUCAGAUUGAACGCUGGCGGCAUGCCUUACACAUGAAAGUCGAACGGCAGCGGGCCUUCGGGUGCCGGCGAGUGGCGAACGGGUGAGUAAUGCAUCGGAACGUGCCAUUGAGUGGGGAUAACGUAGCGAAAGUUACGCUAAUACCGCAUAUUCUGUGAGCAGGAAAGCAGGGGACCGCAAGGCCUUGCGCUCUUUGAGCGGCCGAUGUCAGAUUAGCUAGUUGGUGAGGUAAAGGCUUACCAAGGCGACGAUCUGUAGCGGGUCUGAGAGGAUGAUCCGCCACACUGGAACUGAGACACGGUCCAGACUCCUACGGGAGGCAGCAGUGGGGAAUUUUGGACAAUGGGCGCAAGCCUGAUCCAGCCAUGCCGCGUGAGUGAAGAAGGCCUUCGGGUUGUAAAGCUCUUUCGGCCGGGAAGAAAUCGCAUGGGUUAAUACCCUGUGUGGAUGACGGUACCGGAAUAAGAAGCACCGGCUAACUACGUG
rnacentral:rRNA from 1 species